AGUGAACGCUGGCGGUAGGCCUAACACAUGCAAGUCGAACGGCAGCACAGUAAGAGCUUGCUCUUACGGGUGGCGAGUGGCGGACGGGUGAGGAAUACAUCGGAAUCUACUUUUUCGUGGGUGAUAACGUAGGGAAACUUACGCUAAUACCGCAUACGACCUACGGGUGAAAGCAGGGGAUCUUCGGACCUUGCGCGAUUGUAUGAGCCGAUGUCGGAUUAGCUAGUUGGCGGGGUAAAGGCCCACCAAGGCGACGAUCCGUAGCCGGUCUGAGAGGAUGAUGAGGCACACCGGAACUGAGACAAGGUACAGACUCCGACGGGAGGCAGCAGGAGGGAAUAUUGGGCAAGGGGCGAAAGCCUGAUGGAGAAACGCCGCGUGAGGGAAGAAGGGCUUCGGAUCGUAAAACUCUGUUAUUAGGGAAGAACAAAAGUAUAAGAAACUAUGGACGUCUUGACGGUACCGAAAGAGAAAGCCACGGCUAACUACGUG
rnacentral:rRNA from 1 species